UUCAUAACAACACUCCCCUUGAUCUAAUCAAUCAACCAUAAAAGAUAACUAUGAAAGAAAUCAUUAAUUCAAUAAGAAAAUUAACAUUAAUAACAAAAAAAAAAACAUACUAUCAUAAUAACCAAUAUCAAUCAUCUAACUUAAGUACUUGCCCACCAAUAAACCAUAAACUAGCAAAAAGCUAAGUAUUAUUAACAACAACAAAAAAAAAAAGGCAAGUACACCCAACAUUCUCC
rnacentral:lncRNA from 1 species